rnacentral:rRNA from 1 species
UACGUAGGUGGCAAGCGUUAUCCGGAAUUACUGGGCGUAAAGCGCACGCAGGCGGCUCGUCAAGUUCGACGUGAAAGCUCCCGGCUUAACUGGGAGAGGUCGUUGAAAACUGGCGAGCUUGAGGCAAUGAGAGGGAUGUGGAAUACCCGGUGGAGCGGUGAAAUGCGUAGAGAUCGGGUGGAACACCAGGGGCGAAGGCGGCAUCCUGGCUCUGUUCUGACGCUGAGGCGCGAGAGCGUGGGGGAGCAAAACCGG